AUUGAACGCUGGCGGCAGGCCUAACACAUGCAAGUCGAGCGGAUGACGGGAGCUUGCUCCUUGAUUCAGCGGCGGACGGGUGAGUAACGCCUAGGAAUCUGCCUGGUAGUGGGGGACAACGUUUCGAAAGGAACGCUAAUACCGCAUACGUCCUACGGGAGAAAGCAGGGGACCUUCGGGCCUUGCGCUAUCAGAUGAGCCUAGGUCGGAUUAGCUAGUUGGUGAGGUAAUGGCUCACCAAGGCGACGAUCCGUAACUGGUCUGAGAGGAUGAUCAGUCACACUGGAACUGAGACACGGUCCAGACUCCUACGGGAGGCAGCAGUGGGGAAUAUUGGACAAUGGGCGAAAGCCUGAUCCAGCCAUGCCGCGUGUGUGAAGAAGGUCUUCGGAUUGUAAAGCACUUUAAGUUGGGAGGAAGGGCAGUAAGCUAAUACCUUGCUGUUUUGACGUUACCGACAGAAUAAGCACCGGCUAACUCUGUGCCAGCAGCCGCCGUAA
rnacentral:rRNA from 1 species